UACAGAGGUGGCAAGCGUUUGUCCGGAUUUACUGGGCGUAAAGAGCGCGCAGGCGGUCGAAUAAGUCGAAUGUGAAAGCCCCCGGCUCAACUGGGGAGGGUCAUUCGAUACUGGAAGGCUUGAAUCCGGGAGAGGGAUGCGGAAUUCCAGGUGUAGCGGUGAAAUGCGUAGAUAUCUGGAGGAACACCGGUGGCGAAGGCGGCAUCCUGGACCGGUAUUGACGCUGAGGCGCGAAAGCCAGGGGAGCAAACGGG
rnacentral:rRNA from 1 species